GACAGAGGGUGCAAACGUUGUUCGGAAUUACUGGGCGUAAAGCGCGUGUAGGCUGCUUGGAAAGUCGGAUGCGAAAGCCCUGGGCUCAACCCAGGAAGUGCAUUCGAAACUUCCGAGCUCGAGUUCUGGAGAGGAUAGCGGAAUUCUCGGUGUAGAGGUGAAAUUCGUAGAUAUCGAGAGGAACACCGGUGGCGAAGGCGGCUAUCUGGACAGAAACUGACGCUGAGACGCGAAAGCGUGGGGAGCAAACAGG
rnacentral:rRNA from 1 species